UUAGGGGCUUGUUUGAGCUUUCUCCUCAGAUAUUGUCCAUUUUACAGGAGUCUGUCAAGUUUCAUGCAUUGUAUAAAAAGAUACAGUUUAUUGCCCUGAACUGUUCUGGGAAACUAAGUUCAUCAGAUAAGCUGCAGCAGUGUUGGAAACACCAAAACGCCAACAGUGUCUGGGAAAAUGAGAUAUAUGAGAUUAAACUAAACAAGAAACUUCUCUUUGUGUUGAUCUCUUGAUUUACUGAAUCAUUAUGUGAGAGCAAUGAAAAGACCCAAACAGAGAGCAGCCUACCACACAGUCAGAGUGUAUAAUUAAGGUUCUAUCUCUAAGUUUCUGAGGACUGGGGGAUGGACAGAAUUGUUUCUGUCUUUCUCUGCAGGGGAGCAAUGGAGAGAUGAAGGAGUGGACACUUGGAGAGUGUGAAGCUUUGCAUUUUCAGGUCCCUCAGAGCCAAAAUCAGCAUUCUGGCUCUCACACUGAGGCAGGGCAGUCAGCCAGAGUCUGGCAUGCAUGAAGGAGCGGGAGAGAGAAAGGGAGUUGGACAGAGACUUAUCUUGAAGAACAGCAGUUGAGCUGAGACGGACCCCUCCCCUCCCCAAACUGAUCCGCCGUCCACACCUCAAACCGACUCAGAGCUCAGGCUCAGUUCUCACACCUACACCAGGCUGCUGCAUCAGCACAGCUCUCUAUAUUUAGUCCAGAUUACAAGGCUCAGCUGCAAACCAACACACUCUACAUAGCUGGUGAAGCUCUACAGGAAGAGUAUCUGUGACUGUCUGCCAAUGAUUCAGAGUGAACCUCAGUAACCAGAGAGAUCUCGGUGCCAUAGUUCUGUGGUGAGGUAAAGGGUCAGAGGUCAGGUCCACAGCUCACCUUUAGGAGCUCACCUCCGCCAUGUGACCGCUCUCUGAUUACAUCAUAAUGCACAUGAGUCUGUGCAUGAGUCAUAUGCCACACACAGCCCAAAAUCCUAAAUAAAAACAGCGCUGGAACACGGGCUCUGCUGCACACAUGCCUGUGCCAUGCAGGGAAUAAGCACCUGAUGCAGGAGAAUGUAUCUGCUCCGUCUAGACACAUCAUCCUGAUGAGAGUUUGUGAACGUGAUUACGAUCUCUCGAUAAACACCACACACGCUCCGAUCCUGAAUCGUGCAUGCUCCGCGAUGCUCAUUCAUCCCUCUGGAAUCUGUCCAUCUCAGAGGAAGCUAGUUUCAGUUAAUCCCGCCUUAUCAUCGCUCUGUAUUUAGAUAAAACGCUCCCUCUUGUGACUCCAUAACUCAUGAAUGUGUCUUCAUUCUGGUAACAGACUCUAAACCAGUAAAAGGGUGACUAAUGCUCUCCUUCCAAAAAUGUUGAGUGACACUUUACAACAUGUGUCCAUUUCUGGCUUGGAGGGGCUUUGAGAGCUGCCUCCUUCAUGAGUCAUUUGAACACUGUAGCUAUGGAAUGGUGAUGUUUGUGUAUGUGUCAUAUUUCAACAUCCCAGCAGAUCUAUUAGUCUCACAUAAGUACUAUUAGAUAAAAGGAAAUUCAUUUCCUGUCAAAUCUAAUCACAUAAUCAACGUAUUAAGGCUCAGUUAUUAAGAAUGAGUUUGUGGAGGGGAUUUUAUAGUUUUGGAAGGCCAUUUCAGAUUCACAUUUGUUUUGUUGGAGUUCCUCUUGUAAGGUAACAGCUGCAAGAUAGACUAAAAUACAAAUAGAAUAAAAUGAAAAUAUAUAUUAUAUAUAUAUAUGAUAUAUUAAAGUGUUUUGGUAUGUGUGUCUCUAUCAGACUGCAUCCUGCUGGGGAUGGCUGCUAAGGGGUGGGGGUGUCUGGACUUUUUUAGGUGGGCGCUACAUGUCUAAGUAACAUCCACAUGAAUGAAUGCCAGGUCCAAAAGUUUGGUCGAAAUGUACAUCUGCACUUUUAUCAUCAUCAGCAUCAUAUACAGUGAAUGUACAUAUAAAUAUAUAUAUAAAUUAUUAGAGAACUUCCACAAAUAUUUUGGCGCUCAAAGUUUAUCUGGAGUCUCUCCAUUGGAAACUGGUUCUGCUGGUUUGCAAAUUGAUCCAGUGGUGCCAGGCUGAACCCUGUGGCGGGUUUGGUGUUGUGUUGUGUUGUGUUGUGUUGUGUUGUGUUGUGUUGUGUUAUGUUUGUAACAGAUCUGAAUGCCCAUGAGGUGUUGCUGCCAUGAAUAAAAGAAGCAGCAAUUCCAAAACUCACUAAAAAACAUUAAAUUCAAAUGUCUGUAAAGGUUCUCAGUCGUCCAGGUCAUGGUUGAUCCAAAAACAAUACUAAAACAAGGAGAACUAGACUUGUAGACAUGGACAUGUCCAGAUGUUCUUGUUUCAGCCUGACAAAAAACUACCUAUUAAUUGAAGGAAAUAAAGAGUGACAUCUAGCUUGUGUUAGUGUGUAUGAUUGUUCCCAUUGGCUCUACGCCACCUCAGUCCCACAGCUGUAACGUGCAUUUUUCCUGCUGUAAAUCCCAGUGAACUUGAGGCUUUUUAAAGCGACACAAUACAGCCCUAAUGGGUGACAAUAGAACCAAUGAGGAGACAAAGAUGGCACCUUAACCCUGAAAGAGAGAAACAGGAGAGAGGGAGGCAUGGAGGAGCGUGGGUGGGUGGCGCAGUGGAGGAAAAGUUCAGUUUUAUGACUGUGGGAAUCAACGUCUUCCCCCUCCUCCCUCCUCUUUGCCUUUUCAUCCAGCCUGCCUCUCAUCUGUGGUCCACGCCCCGUCUUGUAGGAUUAAUAGUCUCAUAAAUUUCUGAUUCUCCCUUUAGACGCCUAAAGAGUGAUUUAAGAGUGAUGCCAUCUGUGUGUGUGACCUUUUCAGAGUUAAUGCCCCAGUGUGAACUUGGGUGCAUGUGUGUGUUGGGAUGAAUGCAUGCCUGCACAUGAACGCCUGAUCAUGUGCAAGUGAGGGUGAAGGAUUCAGUGUGAAAUAUGAAUUAUGAAUCCACAAAUGUUAGUUGUAUUUAUGUGCAGGUGCAUAAAAACUAGGUUCAUAUUCAUAUUGCAGCAUACAACACCCAUUCUCAGAAGAGAGAGGCAUUCCCCAAAAGCUUAUCAGGAGAGAAGUGCCCAGCUGUGUCCUGGUAGUUAGAGAAGAAGGCCUGAGAUGGAAGCCCACAAAUGAUAGGAGAAAAAAAGAAAAGAGCAACAUCUACAGCUGAAGAGUCCCUGAGCUUUUAAGCCCUCAAACUUCUCCCCGGGCGCUGCACAUAGCUACUCACUAGUCUGAUGGAGCGUUCCCAGCAUUCGCCGUGGGUUUGAGUGUGAACUGAUGGGUUAAAUGCAGAGAGGAAAUUUCCAAUGUGUACGAACUUAUGGACAAUAAAGACUCUUCACUAGCAGCUAAAGUAACGAUCCCUCCACCAACAAUCAACAGACAUGUGUUAAAAGCUCUGAGAAUAGGUUCUUUUCUCUUUUUGUGAUGUCAGCCAAAAUAAAUAAAUACAAAAAGUACCUUGUUUUGGUUACUCUUGUUUAGUUUGGAUGCAUGAGAUGUGCUGUCCUUUGACCUUUUGGAACAAUUAAGUUUUGGCUUAUUUAGCUCGACCUCUUUUUGUGACGUAAGUCCUGUUAAGACUUCGUAUUAGGAUCCAUCCGUUAUCUGACCACUACUGUUCAUCUUUUAGUCCCUGUGUUCACACCUAGUAUU